rnacentral:rRNA from 1 species
GACGAACGCUGGCGGCGUGCUUAACACAUGCAAGUCACGGGGGCCCGCAAGGGCAACCGGCGAACGGGUGCGUAACACGUGAGCAAUCUGCCAAUUUCUGGGGGAUAGCCGGCCCAACGGCCGGGUAAUACCGCAUACGCUCGCGGGGAGGGGUCUCCCUGCGAGGAAACCUCCGGGGGAAAUCGAGGAGCUCGCGGCCU